CCUACGGGUGGCAGCAGUAGGGAAUCUUCCACAAUGGGCGAAAGCCUGAUGGAGCAACGCCGCGUGGGUGAAGAAGGUCUUCGGAUCGUAAAACCCUGUUGUUAGAGAAGAAAGUGCGUGAGAGUAACUGUUCACGUUUCGACGGUAUCUAACCAGAAAGCCACGGCUAACUACGUGCCAUCAGCCUCGGUAAUACGUAGGUGGCAAGCGUUAUCCGGAUUUAGUGGGCGUAAAGGGAACGCAGGCGGUCUUUUAAGUCUGAUGUGAAAGCCUUCGGUUUAACCGGAGUAGGGCAUUGGAAACUGGGAGACUUGAGUGCAGAAGAGGAGAGUGGAAAUCCAUGUGUAGCGGUGAAAGGCGUAGAUAUAUGGAAGAACACCAGUGGCGAAAGCGGCUCUCUGGUCUGUAACUGACGCUGAGGUUCGAAAGCGUGGGUAGCAAACAGGAUUAGAUACCCGAGUAGUC
rnacentral:rRNA from 1 species